rnacentral:rRNA from 1 species
CGCUGGCGGCGUGCUUAACACAUGCAAGUCGAACGGGAUCCCUGGCAGCUUGCUGUCGGGGUGAGAGUGGCGAACGGGUGAGUAAUGCGUGACCAACCUGCCCUGUGCACCGGAAUAGCUCCUGGAAACGGGUGGUAAUACCGGAUGCUCCGCUCCAUCGCAUGGUGGGGUGGGAAAUGCUUUUGCGGCAUGGGAUGGGGUCGCGUCCUAUCAGCUUGUUGGCGGGGUGAUGGCCCACCAAGGCGUUGACGGGUAGCCGGCCUGAGAGGGUGACCGGCCACAUUGGGACUGAGAUACGGCCCAGACUCCUACGGGAGGCAGCAGUGGGGAAUAUUGCACAAUGGGCGCAAGCCUGAUGCAGCGACGCCGCGUGCGGGAUGGAGGCCUUCGGGUUGUAAACCGCUUUUGUUCAAGGGCAAGGCACGGUUUUGAGUGUACCUUUCGAAUAAGCACCGGCUAACUACGUGCCAGCAGCCGCGG